rnacentral:rRNA from 1 species
CACCGCGGUUAAACGAGAGGCCCCAGUUGACAGUACUGCGGCGUAAAGGGUGGUUAAAGCCUGCAACUUAAUAAAGCUAAAUAGUCCCCCGGCCGUCAUACGCUUCUAGGCGCUAGAAACCCAAUAUACGAAAGUAGCUUUAGCAUCACCGCCUGACCCCACGAAAGCUGAGGAA